rnacentral:tRNA from 1 species
GCCUGGGUGGCUCAGUCAGUUGAGCAUCUGACUUCAGCUCAGGUCAUGAUCUCACAAUUUGUGGGUUCGAGCCCCACGUUGGGCU